GUGUUUAUGCUCAAGAUGAAACAGAAUUCUAUUUGGGCAAGAGAUGUGCUAUGUAUACAAAGCAAAGAACCAGACGGUGACUCCUGGAGGCAAACCAAACAAAACCAGAGUAAUCUGGGGAAAGGUAACUCAGGCCCACGGGAACAGUAGCAUGGUUCAUGCCAAAUUCCUAAACAAUCUUCCUGCUAAGGCUAUUGGACACAGAAUCGGAGUGAUGCUGUACCCCUCAAGGAUUUAA
rnacentral:lncRNA from 1 species